CUUUAAAGACAAUCUCCCGCGUUCAGAGUUGAGCGGAAAUAGCAAGAGUGUUUUUCCUCUAUUUAAGCGCGCCAACAAAGACUGUGUGCAUUGCAUACGCGGCACGGUUGUGUUGCUGUAGUUCCAGCAAGCCUCCGAAAGAUGUCCGAGGAAAUGUCUGGCGCGUCGAGCUCUGGGAGUGGCGUGGAUGAGAAGCCGUGCUCGUCGUCAGCACCUGCAACAGACCGCUGUUCUGGUGACGUCAUGGAGGAGGCAAAGAAGCUCAUCGGCAAAGGCAACAGACAUCUCGUGAUGGGUGACAUUGUCGCUGCAGUCCGUGUCUUUCAGGAUGCAUGCGGCAUGUUAGCUGCCAGGUAUGGAGACACAGCAGAUGAAUGUGGUGAGGCCUUCUUCCUGUGUGGGAAGUCCCUACUUGAGCUUGCCAGGUUGGAGAGCACAGUCCUUGGAAAUGCCCUGGUAGGAGUCCCAGAAGAAUCUGAUGAUGAUGAUGAGGAGCAGCCCAGUAACUCAAAUAUUGAGAGUGCCAAUGACCUUGACGAUGAAGACGACGAUGAUGGGGAAGUGGACAAAAAUGGUGACAAGGAGGAGGAGGAGGAGGAUGACGACGUUGACAAUCUGCAAUUGGCUUGGGAAAUGCUGGAGGUGGCCAAGGUCAUCUUUAAGAGAAAGGAAAACAAAGAGCAGCAGCUCAUGGCAGCCCAGACCUUGUUGAAACUUGGAGAAGUUGGCGCAGAAGCAGGAAACUAUCCUCAGGCGCUGGAAGAUUUCCAGGAAUGUUUGGCCCUGCAGCUCAAGCACCUUCCUCCUCACAGUCGUCUGCUGGCCGAGACGUAUUACCAUGUCGCCGCCAUGCAUUGCUACAUGGACCAGUAUGGGCAGGCCGUUCAACACUACAACAGCUCCGUAAAAGUGAUUGAAACCCGCUUGGCCAUGUUGCAGAACUUGAUUGCUGCGGCGGAGAGCACCGAAGAGGCGACCACCGAGAUGGAAGAACUGAAGCAGCUUCUGCCAGACAUUAGAGAAAAAAUCGAAGAUGCUGAAGAAAUCCACAAAACAGACAGUGCUGCCAUCCAACAGACGCUUGGCGGCGCUUCAACCUCAUCAGCCUCCCGGAGUGAAAAUGGCAGCUCUUCAGCCUUUGCUGGCCCCACCAUCGCAGAGCCCAAUGAAAUCGACGGAUGGAGCAUCAUCUUCUACAGUGGCCUCAGACAUUUCUCACCUAGUUAGGAAAAAGAGGAAACCAGAGGAGAAGAGCCCAGUCAAGGACACUGAUGCUAAGCAGGCCAAACAGGAAGCUACACUUAAUGGCACUGGAGACUCUAGUGCCAACAAUGGAGUUGAGGAGCAAAAAUCACAGGAGCCCGCGGUCCAGUCUUCAGCGUGAGCGGCCCCCUGGAUCCUGUUUUUUCAAGACCAGCAUGCUUGCCCAACUCUUCUUCUUGUAAAUAAGAUCCAUUUUCAUAGCUUUGUCUGUCCAGUUUUGUAUACUUGCAGUAAACCAAUUUGCAAAUAAAUGAAUUGAAACAGA